rnacentral:lncRNA from 1 species
AGCACCUCAAUCUUUAAUUAUAUCAUUCCUCUAAAUUCUCUCACAAUAAUGCACUGCCCGUCUGCCUCUCUGUAUCUUUCUUUCUGACUAUUCUUCCUGCUCUUUUUCUUUUCUCUCUCACUAAUCUCUUUCUGUCUGCCCACCAUCUUCACACUUUUAAGCAUACACAUAUAUUUUGUUUUUCACUUCUUUCAUCUACUUAAACUCAAAAUGGAAAGGCUGUACACAUGCAUAUAUAUGGUGAGCUAUUGUCGGUGGAAUAUUUCUUUACACAAUUCUAGCAAAUUGGUGCUGGUGGAUGCAAAUAAUUCUUACCAAUUUGGAUUAUUCUAGACUUCUUCUAGAUUAUGAAGCAAUUUUGGAGACAUAAUCGAUUGCUGUAGGCCUUGCAGAAUCCAUAAUUGAAGGUAAUUUGAAACUUUCUCCCAAGUCGGUGUUGUAUCUCCAUGCAAGAGGAGAGGCGGCGAGCUGGAGUCCGUGGGGAAAGGCAAAUGAUUUCUCCUUCAGAUUUUUCAUGUAAUUGCACAAAAAAAAAAAAAAAGAAGUGACAAAGUGAGGCCCCCAUCCAAUUUUGGCCUCAUCUCAGGACCGGUUCUGACGACGAUGAUAAGAUUUUCUAAUUGAAAUAUGUUCAAUAUUAAGAGGCAAUUGGUUGAAGACUUUUAGUACUAGAUAGAAAAAUUGUCUCGAGAAGAUCCCGAAUUCAACCCGUUCGAAUGAUUUCUAAAUUACUU